rnacentral:rRNA from 1 species
AUUGAACGCUGGCGGCAUGCCUUACACAUGCAAGUCGAACGGCAGCGGGGGAGAAGCUUGCUUUUCCUGCCGGCGAGUGGCGAACGGGUGAGUAAUACAUCGGAACGUGCCCUGUAGUGGGGGAUAACUAGUCGAAAGAUUAGCUAAUACCGCAUACGACCUGAGGGUGAAAGUGGGGGACCGCAAGGCCUCAUGCUACAGGCGCGGCCGAUGUCUGAUUAGCUAGUUGGUGGGGUAAAGGCCUACCAAGGCGACGAUCAGUAGCUGGUCUGAGAGGACGACCAGCCACACUGGGACUGAGACACGGCCCAGACUCCUACGGGAGGCAGCAGUGGGGAAUUUUGGACAAUGGGCGAAAGCCUGAUCCAGCAAUGCCGCGUGUGUGAAGAAGGCCUUCGGGUUGUAAAGCACUUUUGUCCGGAAAGAAAUGGCUCUGGUUAAUACCUGGGGUCGAUGACGGUACCGGAAGAAUAAGGACCGGCUAACUACGUGCCAGCAGCCGCGGUAAGAC